GAUGAACGCUGGCGGCGUGCCUAAUACAUGCAAGUCGAGCGAACGGACGAGACGCUUGUUUCUUUCUUGUUAGCGGAGGACGGGAGAGUAACACGUGGAUCACCUACUUAUCUGUCUGGGAACAUCACGGGACACCGGCUCUAAUCCGGGAUGAUCUUUUGCACCGUAUGGUUCAAAAGUGAAAGACGGUCUUGCUGGCUCUACUAGCUGCUUCCGGGCUGCAUUAGGUGGUUGGUACGGUAACGGCUUACCAAGGCAACGAUGCGUAGCCGACCUGAGAGGGUGAUCGGCCACACGGGAACUGAGACACGGACCAGACGCCUACGGGAGGCAGCAGUAGGGAAUCGUCCGCAAUGGGCGAAAGCCUGACGGAGCAACGCCGCGUGAGUGAUGAAGGUCUUCGGAUCGUAAAACUCUGUUAUUAGGGAAGAACAGAUGUGGAAGUAACUGUGCACAGCUUGACGGUACCUAAUCAGAAAGCCACGGCUAACUACGUG
rnacentral:rRNA from 1 species